CUCACAACGGGCGGAUCAGUAACUGGUUGCUCUCCUCCGCCGGGAUCAGAUUCUCCGCUUUCCGUUUGGUCGACAUCUCCGGCUCCGUGCUGCUUCUGGACAUCGGAAGAG